rnacentral:rRNA from 1 species
AUUGAACGCUGGCGGCAGGCUUAACACAUGCAAGUCGAGCGAGCGGCGGACGGGUGAGUAAUGUCUGGGAAACUGCCUGAUGGAGGGGGAUAACUACUGGAAACGGUAGCUAAUACCGCAUACUAUCAGAUGUGCCCAUGUGGGAUUAGCUAGUAGGUGGGUUAAUGGCUCACCUAGGCGACGAUCCCUAGCUGGUCUGAGAGGAUGACCAGCCACACUGGAACUGAGACACGGCCCAGACUCCUACGGGAGGAAGCAGUGGGGAAUAUUGCACAUGGGGCGCAAGCCUGAUGCAGCCAUGCCGCGUGUUGGAAGAAGGCCUUCGGGUUGUAAAGCACUUUCAGCGGGGAGGCGUUACUCGCAGAAGAAGCACCGGCUAACUCCGUGCCAGCAGCCGCGGUAAUUC